AUUGUACUGGUCAAGUCAGUCAAACCAGUCAAGCGGACAAGAAAGAGGGACUCAGAUCACCUGGAAUUAUGGCAAUGUCUUGCAAGGAUACUUCUGAAAAUCGGGUGUCACGGGAAGCUGAACUUUGCAUCCCAGUUCUGAAACAUACAGCAACCUCAUGGAGACAGAUGCAUCACUCGGCAUUUUGGGGCGGUAGCGAGUUCAGUGACCUGCCAGAUUUCUUAGCAUUAACUUGAAAGAGAAGACACUUAUUUGAUUUGAUUUGAUUUCUACUAGUCAAGUGGGCACCUGGAUUAAGCAGACUCUCCCCCAGGCACCCCGGAGGCCUCUGACAUCCCUUAUGUCCAGCCCAGACAUGGCCUUUCUGUGGCCUCAGCGUAUCUGCCCAGUCCAAUCGGCUAUAGCCAGAAUAAAAAGGGAGGAAGAUCCAAGAGAGGGAAGGAGGCUUUCCCAGCUACUUUCCUGCUAACCAGGGCAGAGGCUGGUCUACAUCCCCCUAUCCAGGUGGCCCCUGCAGUCAUGGCUUUUCUGCUUCUAGAAGCCAUCCCUGAGAACAUCAUUGCAGAACUCAAAAUACAUUGCAUCAUACAAAAUGAAGUGGAGAAUUAAGGUAAUUAUCCAAUUAUUAAAAACCAUUUCUUAUUCGUUAGCUAAAUAACUCUUCAAGUCUCCAUUUUACAUGUGUUCCUCUGAUGUGAAUUUGACCCUGGCCUAUUUGUUUUUCAGUAAAGUCCAAAAUCCAAAAUAGCCCAACAGAAAGACCCCCUCCCAGUAUUCCACAGCAUCAGUAAUAAAGCUCCUUAUCAGAUCUAAUUUAAAUCUUUCUUGAAACAACUUAAGUCCUUCUGCACCAUCCUCUGCAAGUGCAGAACAGCCAGAGUGCAGGUUGCAGGAUGUGGGGGGAUUAUUACAGUGAAAUCGGCACACGGAUCUCAAGAUGAAAGUUUGCUGUUUCUCCAGACCGUCUAGGUGACUGCCUUUUG
rnacentral:lncRNA from 1 species